rnacentral:lncRNA from 1 species
GGUAUUGGAAAUGUGAAAGUAGAAUAAUGUGGCAUCAUCUUUUUGUUUUUUUUUUGAAUUUUCUUUUUUCAUUAUGUCAGCAUAUUAUUUCGUUUUGAUCAAUGCGCUGGAGUUUUGUUUCAUGAAAGGUUAAUUAUGGUGCACGUAAUUAUUUACUAUAUAUAUAUGUACUAAUAUUGCGCAAGAUCAAAUCAUUGUUCGAUCUUACCAAUAACUUAAGGUGACAGUUUAAAUACCUUCCUAUAAAGUGCAUACGAACAGAUUUUUUGAGGUGUACGAACGGUUUCAAUAUUAGUUGCUAUUUUGCCGCAACUACAUGAUGUAUUUGUUUU